UACGAAGGGUGCGAGCGUUAUUCGGAAUCACUGGGCGUAAAGAGUGCGUAGACGGUCCAUUAAGUUUGUUGUUAAAGACUCUAGCCUAACUGGAGGGUUGCAAUGAAAACUGGUGAGCUGGAGGGUGAGAGAGAGAAGUGGAAUUCCUGGAGUAGCGGUAAAAUGCGUGGAUCUCAGGAGGAACACCAAUGGCGAAGGCAGCUUCUUGGCUCAUUCCUGACGUUGAGGCACGAAAGCGUGGGGAGCAAACAGGAUUAGAAACCCUAGUAGUCC
rnacentral:rRNA from 1 species